rnacentral:rRNA from 1 species
CCUACGGGUGGCAGCAGUGAGGAAUAUUGGUCAAUGGACGCAAGUCUGAACCAGCCAUGCCGCGUGCAGGAAGACGGCUCUAUGAGUUGUAAACUGCUUUUGUACGAGGGUAAACGCAGAUACGCGUAUCUGUCUGCACGUAUCUUACGAGUAAGGAUCGGCUAAUUCGGUGCAAGCGCCCGCGGUAAUAGGGGGGAGUCAAGCUUUAUCCGGAUUUAUUGGGUUUAAAGGGUGCGUGGGCGGCCUUUUAAGUCAGCGGUAAAAGCCCGGGGCUAAACCGCGGAGAGCCGUUGAAACUGGCGGGCUGGAGUGGGAGAGAAGAAAGUGGAAUGCGAGGUGUAGCGGUGAAAUGCUUAGAUAUCGCGCAGAACAUCGAUUGCGAAGGCAGCGUACCGGCUCAAAACUGACGCUGAGGCACGAAAGCGUGGGUAUCGAACAGGAUUAGAUACCCGAGUAGUC